GUAGCAAUACUUAGUGGCAGACGGGUGAGUAACAUGUGGGUAUCUUCCCUUUGGCCUGGAAUAACACGAGGAAACUUGUGCUAAUACCGGAUAAGUCUUUACAGAGAAAGCUUUAUGCACCAUUGGAUGAGCCUGCACUUGAUUAGUUUGUUGGUGGGGUAAUGGCCUACCAAGACUGUGAUCAAUAGCUGAUUUGAGAGGAUGAUCAGCCACAUUGGGACUGAGACACGGCCCAAACUCCUACGGGAGGCAGCAGUGGGGAAUCUUGCACAAUGGAGGAAACUCUGAUGCAGCGAUGCCGCGUGAGUGAAGAAGGCCCUUGGGUUGUAAAGCUCUUUCGUCGGGGAAGAAAAUGACUGUACCCGAAUAAGAAGGUCCGGCUAACUUCGUGCCAGCAGCCGCGGUAAUACGAAGGGACCUAGCGUAGUUCGGAAUUACUGGGCUUAAAGAGUUCGUAGGUGGUUGAAAUAGUUGGUGGUGAAAUCCCAGAGCUUAACUCUGGAACUGCCAUCAAAACUUUUCAGCUAGAGUUUGAUAGAGGAAAGCAGAAUUUCUAGUGUAGAGGUGAAAUUCGUAGAUAUUAGAAAGAAUACCAAUUGCGAAGGCAGCUUUCUGGAUCAUUACUGACACUGAGGAACGAAAGCAUGGGUAGCGAAGAGGAUUAGAUACCCUCGUAGUCCAUGCCGUAAACGAUGUGUGUUAGACGUUGGAAAUUUAUUUUCAGUGU
rnacentral:rRNA from 1 species